rnacentral:misc_RNA from 1 species
CAGGACUCGCAAGACUCCUACAACCCUGUGAACCUACUAUACGAACGUUGCUUCGGCGGGUGCGCCCCGGGGAUUCGUUCCCGCGGCGCGUCAGCCCGCCGGCAGCCUACAAAUUCUGUUUCUUUGCGUUGGCAUCUCGAGAAAAACAAAAUAAGUUA